rnacentral:tRNA from 1 species
GCCUAGCUGGCUCUGUUGGUAGAGCAUGUGACUUUUGAUCUCAGGGUUGGAGUUCAAGCUCCACAUUGGGCA